GACCUGGUGGUGAAGUGCAUCACACCCACACUGUUUGUGAGUCCCAGAAAGGCAGCAGUGGGAGUCCCUGGUUUGAGUCCAGGCCAGGUCG